GCGCCGGGCUCGCUCCCUCGCUCGCGGGUACAGUAGGUGUACAGCUCGGGGAGAAGACACUGGGGCUGCCGGGAGGCUGAACCUGACUUCUCUUCAUUGUGGGCUCCUAUUGCCUUGGACUCUUCAACAUCUGUUUCUCUCUCUCUUGGUUGACACCUGGUGUAAUUCUCAUACAUCUUAAAGGCAGGAUUUUGUAACUCUGACUUAACUCUUUAACAUCUUCAGAAUGUAACAAAUUUGACUUUGGUGUGGAGACCAGUGAUGUUCACUCCAAAUGAAAUUAAAUGUUGGCCAUUGGCUCAUGGUGGCCAGUCGUUGGAGGACAAAGCUGGUUAAAUUAACUGCAUAAAAUCACAAAAUCAAAGAUGUUUCUCCUUUUUCCCCAUUGACACCCUCCUCCUGUUCCUGUCCUC